UUUGUACUACAGGCCAAAGAUAUUCAACAACAGGUCAUCUUUGCAUUAUAGGCCAAAGAUAUUCAACAACAGAUCAUCUUUGCACCACAGGCCAAAGAUAUUCAACAACAGAUCAUCUUUGCACUACAGGCCAAACAUAUUAAUCUCUCAAAGAAAUAUAUAAUCAUUUCAGAAUUUAUAUAAACAAUAAUUAUAACCAUGUUGAUCAAUUCACCUUUGCACUUAAGCUAAAGAUAUUCAAUUAUAAAUUCAAUGGUCAUGAU
rnacentral:lncRNA from 1 species